UGAAUGACUCAUUCGCUUGUA
rnacentral:snRNA from 1 species